CUUUUUGAAGUCUUCGGAUGGAAAGAAGAACCCCUGAUGCCGUCGAGCCAAGAAAAGUUUCUAAGUUUAGCUAAUGUUGCCCGUACCGUAAACCGACACAGGUGGGUGGGAUGAGUAUUCUAAGGCGCGUGGAAGAACUCUCUUUAAGGAACUCUGCAAAAUAGCACCGUAUCUUCGGUAUAAGGUGUGCCUCCCUUUGUAUUAGAAUUCACUUCGAAAGCAAAGAAGGUUACAACAAAGAGUCCCUCCCGACUGUUUACCAAAAACACAGCACUCUGCUAACUCGUAAGAGGAUGUAUAGGGUGUGACGCCUGCCCGGUGCUCGAAGGUUAAUUGAUGGGGUUAGCAUUAGCGAAGCUCUUGAUCGAAGCCCGAGUAAACGGCGGCCGUAACUAUAACGGUCCUAAGGUAGCGAAAUUCCUUGUCGGUUAAAUACCGACCUGCAUGAAUGGCGUAACGAGAUGGGAGCUGUCUCAAAGAGGGAUCCAGUGAAAUUGUAGUGGAGGUGAAAAUUCCUCCUACCCGCGGCAAGACGGAAAGACCCCGUGGACCUUUACUACAGCUUGACACUGCUAUUUGGAUAAGAAUGUGCAGGAUAGGUGGGAGGCUUUGAGUAUAUGACGCCAGUUGUAUAUGAGCCAUUGUUGAGAUACCACUCUUUCUUAUUUGGGUAGCUAACCAGCUUGAGUUAUCCUCAAGUGGGACAAUGUCUGGUGGGUAGUUUGACUGGGGCGGUCGCCUCCCAAAUAAUAACGGAGGCUUACAAAGGUUGGCUCAUAGCGGUUGGAAAUCGCUAGUAGAGUAUAAAGGUAUAAGCCAGCUUAACUGCAAGACAUACAAGUCAAGCAGAGACGAAAGUCGGUCUUAGUGAUCCGGUGGUUCUGUGUGGAAGGGCCAUCGCUCAAAGGAUAAAAGGUACCCCGGGGAUAACAGGCUGAUCUCCCCCAAGAGCUCACAUCGACGGGGAGGUUUGGCACCUCGAUGUCGGCUCAUCGCAUCCUGGGGCUGGAGCAGGUCCCAAGGGUAUGGCUGUUCGCCAUUUAAAGCGGUACGCGAGCUGGGUUCAGAACGUCGUGAGACAGUUCGGUCCCUAUCUGCCGUGGGCGUAAGAAGAUUGAAGAGAUUUGACCCUAGUACGAGAGGACCGGGUUGAACAAACCACUGGUGUAGCUGUUGUUCUGCCAAGAGCAUCGCAGCGUAGCUAAGUUUGGAAAGGAUAAACGCUGAAAGCAUCUAAGCGUGAAGCCAACUCUAAGAUGAAUCUUCUCUAAGCUCUCUAGAAGACUACUAGUUUGAUAGGCUGGGUGUGUAAUGGAUGAAAGUCCUUUAGCUGACCAGUACUAAUAGAGCGUUUGGCUUAUCUUAUAAAUA
rnacentral:rRNA from 1 species